GGAUUGUUAUCUUCGAUACCCUCUCUUAAAGAACAAUAAUCGAACUUAUAAACAAAGGAUUCGAACAGUUUAAGCAAGAAGUCAAUUUUUUUUGCCACUGUGCAACAAUCAACAAUGGUUUUAGAAAUUGAACAACCAAACUAACAAAAUUAACGGAAACAAACUUAGCCGAUAAUAGUAGCAAAUAAGAAGUACGAAUCUAAGCCGACAUCGAAGAGGAAACAGAAAAGAAGAGAAGAAAAAUAAAAGAAC
rnacentral:lncRNA from 1 species